UUUGAAAAAGAAGAGAAAAAAUAUCCAAACUUGUAUCUCUUUGUUUCUGAGUGAACAUAAAUAUAAUGCAGUCUUUUUGAACUGUUUUGUUUUGUAAUUUUUCUUUUUUCCUGUUUCGCAAUUGAGCGUUGUCCAAUUUCGCUGCUGAUAAGAGGAUUUCUGGAUUCGGAUUUUCAAGUUGACAGAGAGGGUUGAACAAAUUUCUAGAAAAUAGGUUUUCAACUUUGGUGCCUGACAAUGGGAAACAAUGAUGAGGGAAAGUCUAAGUC